AGCGAACGCUGGCGGCAGGCUUAACACAUGCAAGUCGAACGGGCACUUCGGUGCUAGUGGCAGACGGGUGAGUAACACGUGGGAACGUACCUUUCGGUUCGGAAUAAUUCAGGGAAACUUGGACUAAUACCGGAUACGCCCUUCGGGGGAAAGAUUUAUCGCCGAUAGAUCGGCCCGCGUCUGAUUAGCUAGUUGGUGAGGUAAUGGCUCACCAAGGCGACGAUCAGUAGCUGGUCUGAGAGGAUGAUCAGCCACAUUGGGACUGAGACAUGGCCCAAACUCCUACGGGAGGCAGCAGUGGGGAAUAUUAGACAAUGGGCGCAAGCCUGAUCCAGCCAUGCCGCGUGAGUGAUGAAGGCCUUAGGGUUGUAAAGCUCUUUUGUCCGGGAAGAUAAUGACUGUACCGGAAGAAUAAGCCCCGGCUAACUUCGUGCCAGCCGCCGCGGUAACAC
rnacentral:rRNA from 1 species